rnacentral:rRNA from 1 species
GGAUACGGCCAUACUGCGCAGAAAGCACCGCUUCCCAUCCGAACAGCGAAGUUAAGCUGCGCCAGGCGGUGUUAGUACUGGGGUGGGCGACCACCCGGGAAUCCACCGUGCCGUAUCCUAUU